rnacentral:rRNA from 1 species
AUUGAACGCUGGCGGCAGGCCUAACACAUGCAAGUCGAGCGGAUGAAGGGAGCUUGCUCCUGGAUUCAGCGGCGGACGGGUGAGUAAUGCCUAGGAAUCUGCCUGGUAGUGGGGGAUAACGUCCGGAAACGGGCGCUAAUACCGCAUACGUCCUGAGGGAGAAAGUGGGGGAUCUUCGGACCUCACGCUAUCAGAUGAGCCUAGGUCGGAUUAGCUAGUUGGUGGGGUAAAGGCCUACCAAGGCGACGAUCCGUAACUGGUCUGAGAGGAUGAUCAGUCACACUGGAACUGAGACACGGUCCAGACUCCUACGGGAGGCAGCAGUGGGGAAUAUUGGACAAUGGGCGAAAGCCUGAUCCAGCCAUGCCGCGUGUGUGAAGAAGGUCGUCGGAUUGUAAAGCACUUUAAGUUGGGAGGAAGGGCAGUAAGUUAAUACCUUGCUGUUUUGACGUUACCAACAGAAUAAGCACCGGCUAACUUCGUGC